AGUGGAUUGUUGAAGCGGGAAGCUUCUGCUACAGAGGGUUAAUCUGAAGUGGCCUGCUUACCUUUGUUUUAUUUCAUUUUUUUCCACUCCAGCUAAGGAGGAAGAUUCUCCAGCAGAGAUCUUAGCAAUUCAUGGUGGAAUAUAUGCACACACACACACACACACACACACAUUUAAUUCGAUCCUUAGUGGGUGACUGAUUGACUGAUAAGAGGCACCUCGUUCCCAGGUGACAGAUGCAUGCUAUUUGGUACUUUUAAUCUGGCAGCUCUGAGUUUGAGCAUGAGCUUCGGGACCAUGUGUUGACUAGGAGAUCUGUCCUCACCGUGCCUUGGACAGCCAUAUUUGCUCACAGUAAAUGUUGUUUGGCUUUGCACAUGGUCCUUGGAUGGACCUCAGGGUCAAGAGAGCAUUGAGGUGUCUCACACAGCCCUGGCUCUUUGCUUGAUCUGAAUAAUGUAUGCAUUCCCCAGCUUCUAUGAUGCUUUAGGGCUCUGAUUUAUGGCCACGAAUGUGCCCCUCCACUUGCCCUGGCUUUUGUUAAUGACCUCUCAUGAAUUAUCCACGAAAUGAAUGUUGGAUGAGCUAAUUAGGCAUUAACCUUACAUUAGCGAUCAACCACACGAUUGGACCCUUCACAGCUACUAGAAUGCCAGCACAGAGCGUUGCUUUGUGUCCGAGUAGUUUACCACAGCAACCGAAGUAAAACCAGGACACAGGGCUUCCUGGACUCCACAGCUGUGCAUCACCAGCCCAACACGGAAGUGAAGAGGACAUUUAUUGAUAACUGCCUCCUGAAGUUUAUCAUAUGUACACGUGCAUGUGGAUGAGACAGUAGACUUCCUGGUCCUCAUGGAAUUGCUCCUGGGUGCAAUCAAUAAGGAGAACAAAUUCGCUAUCAACAUGGAGUCCUUCCCGGAAGAUAGCUAGUUCUCUAGGUGUGGGAUGCUCCCCACUCCACUCACAUGGAUGUUGUUCCACACAGUGUUAAGUGUCCUUGUAAGGCAGGGGUGUACAAAAGACCCCGCUUGUCACUGUUGCGUAGAUAAAUGCAUUCUGG